GGAUGUGAGGGCGAUCUGGCUGUGACAUCUGCCACUCCAUUGACCGCCAGAAUUGAUUCGGCUGACCUGAAUGACUGGCUAGGCUGCGUCCCUUUCCUCCCUCACCAGCUCCAUGUGCAUUCCUCCCGAAGCUGCGUGCUCCAUCGAAGAAGAGGCGGAUCGUUCCCGAAAAGAGGAGGACCAGUCUUUGGUCAAGGGUGUAGGAAUAACUGCGCUCCCCUGUUAGAACCUCCAGACAAGCUCUCAAGGCUCAUUCAUACCCUUUUCUUAAUACAGUUCUGGAGCAAAGAUCAGGUGUGCCAGCACAGCCAGCCAAGUCCAUCUUAGUGGAAUUAGACU
rnacentral:snRNA from 1 species